UACGAGAGGCCCAAACGUUAUUCGGAAUCACUGGGCUUAAAGAGUUCGUAGGCGGCGCGGAAAGUGGGGUGUGAAAGCCCUCGGCUCAACCGAGGAAUUGCGCUCCAAACUGUCGCGCUUGAGGAAGCUAGAGGUAAGCAGAACUGAUGGUGGAGCGGUGAAAUGCGUUGAUAUCAUCAGGAAUACCGGAGGCGAAGGCGGCUUACUGGGACUUUUCUGACGCUGAGGAACGAAAGCUAGGGGAGCAAACGGGAUUAGAUACCCCGGUAGUCCUAGCCGUAAACGGUGAGCACUGGACCGAGGGCCUGCACAGGCCCCCGGUCGUAGCGAAAGUGUUAAGUGCUCCGCCUGGGGAGUAUGGUCGCAAGGCUGAA
rnacentral:rRNA from 1 species